CGCUAGGCGGGUUUGAUCAUUGGUUUUGCCCAGCAGACGCUUGGAUGUGAUCCAGAAGAAAACUCGUCAUCCGUAAAGUGACCUCAGACAACGAUUUGGUUUUUUUUAAACUUCAGCAUGACCUACAAAUAAUUGGAAAAAUACUUUGGUUUUCCCUUCAACCUUGGCAAGAUUUCGUAAAAGCAAGCCGAGUUGUACAGUCCCUCCUUACCAUGGGGCGUUUUUAGUCUAAAAAAAAUACUACUUUUCUGGUCAUCUUCCUUUCCUUUUACUUUUUGUUUAUUUUUUUUUUGUGCGCUUUGUUUCCUAAUCAUUGAAACGCCCUAAUAGUGGCCGUGAACAUUUUUGCAAAAAAAAACCCUGGCUUAGAUAUUUAUUUCAAAUAAAUAACAUUUGUCAGACUAUGUAUGAUACGGUAUUAACGUGACUAUGGUAUACAAUAUACAUGCUACCGUCUGUUUUUAUCUCAUAUUUCUCUCUCCGUCUGAUAUCCACCAUAUUGUUGACAAUUCUACCUUCUAUCUGAUUCUCA